UCCGUAGGGUCCGAGCGUUGUCCGGAAUUACUGGGCGUAAAGAGCUCGUAGGUGGUUUGUCACGUUGUUCGUGAAAACCCACAACUCAAUUGUGGGCGUGCGGGCGAUACGGGCAGACUAGAGUACUGCAGGGGAGACUGGAAUUCCGGGUGUAGUGGUGGAAUGCGUAGAGAUCCGGAGGAACACCAGCGGCGAAGGCGGCAUCCUGGACUGGUCCUGACGCUCAGGAGCGAAAGCGUGGGGAGCGAUCCGG
rnacentral:rRNA from 1 species